rnacentral:rRNA from 1 species
ACCUGCCGGUGCCGCACCGCCCCCCACCUCCCGGCCACGCACCGCCCCACACCUCCUAAGCGAGGCCCGCCCCAUACUCCGACUGGCCAAGCGCCACCGCACCACCGGCCUGCUCACUGGCGAGGCCCUCCUCCCCCACUGCCGCCAUGGCCGUUCGACGCCAUCACCGCAGGCCAUUCGAUGCCACCAUCGCAUGCCGUUCAUCACGGCAGCAACCUGGAUCCGCCCUGCUCCCUUUCCCAGCGCAUCGCCGCCGACCGGCUCCCUCCCCUAGAGUGUCGUUGCGGCCCCAGCCCCACUUCCUUGCCGUGGCACAGCGCCGUCGACUGCGCCCUUCCCUUUCUUCCCCUAGUGCCUCGUGAUGGAAUCCAAGGGAGGGCCAGGCCGUUCACAGCCGCCACCCCCCUCAGUCCAUUCAGCACCGCCAACCAAGGCCGUGCUCCCCUGCCCCCAGCUCACGCCUCCGGUCCCAUGCAGUCCCCAGCACCACCGUCUCGACGUGCCGUCACGCUGUUUUACACGGGAGGUAUUGGCCUCCUUCAUCCGCCGGAUUCGACCAUCCCCUUUUGUUCACCUCCGCCACCCAAGGCCGUUCACCACUGCCACCAGUUCCCGUUCAACACCACCGGCGCAAUCUCACGUGUCAACGACGCCCCUGUCUACCCCACACGAAGCUUCAACAGAGAUUAUCAUCUAUCCAAUACAGACGGAAAAUAGAGUUGGGAGUGGACGACCUCGAGCUUGUCCAACCACCUUCAUUGUGCUUCUCCAGUGCGUUCAUGUGCGGUAUUGCAAGCAUUCCUGUGCCGCGUGCAUGCUUUGGACUACGUGUUGUCUAUUGUUAUGUAGUAUCUCCAGAUUUUCUAAACUAACUUGCUCAAUGACAGAAUUGUGUAUCGCACAGUACAUGUAUUACUACUAGGAAUGUUCACAAAUCAGAACUCAAAGAAGUAUUGACAUCACAACUACUGUAUAUUCAAGGAGUCGGGUUUUGCUCCUGCAUCACCUCGUCUCCUCCGUUCGAAAAAAGCAUCAGAUAAGUUCACACUAUGGUUUCGCUCUUUCGUAUAAUUGAGUCCAGACUCCUUCGGUUUUUGUUCCAUAGAAAUUAAAGAAACCUGUAGAAGUUUGGGGUAUAAAAUUCUAUAAGUUCAAAACCGGGAAACUAGUAAGUUCAGACAAAAUUAAAACUGUCAAAGAACGUGAGAGUUUUUGUCAAAGAACCGAGGCUUCCCCACGCCAGUACAAACUUUUAAAAUGUGUGGAUUUUGUCAAAGCAAAAACUGAAUGGGUGGCAAGAUGAAUGUACUUGUUAUUAAAAGUUUCCUUUUCAACUUCUCCUCUUAAUAUACAUGAACUUGAAUAUCUUUUUAACCAGUUAAAUAUAUAGGGUUGGCAAGACGACUAUAGUUGUUAUAGAAAAAAAAGUACAUUUUUCUUAAAAAAGUUUCUGUUUGAACUUCUCCAAUUAAUAUACAUGAACUCAAUUAUCUUUUUAACAUGUACUCACAUGAGCUCGUUUGGAUUUUUGUGUAUACUUGUAACACAAUCAGUUCAGAUCUCGAGAGACCGUAAGUUUAGUCGGCCUUGGCAUCACGAACGGGUUCAGUUCGAUCUCGCAUAGUGGGCAUGUCCCUGAUGGUGUGUCCGUCAGUUCUACUCGCACGAGUGGACGUCAGAUCACGCAAGUGGGAAGGUCCCCGAUGUAUAUUCAGUUCAACAUCGGGUGCUUCUUCAGUUCAUCGUACUGUGCACUUCAUCUUGCAGGUUUUUUCCCCGUGGAUCCAGCACCUGUUCCUUGUGAUCUGUAGCAUCAGGAGACACGAGGUCACCUCCGGUGCCGCUGGUCACGUCAACGCCGUUAAAAAAUGGUGGUCAGUCCAGCUCCUGCAACCAAUACAGGUCGUUGCCCCUUUUGCCACAACGACAGCAGCACAAACACGAAUGUGGUCGUCCUCAACCAGUUCCUCACGCGGCCUCCGCGCAAGCCCUCUCAUGUAUGCUUACACCAAAAGUGCUUACUUGAAGGGGUAGGCAUGGUGCUGAUACUAAAAAAUGGAUGAGUAAUCACAGAGACCAUCAUGGAUGACGACAGGCCUACAGCUACUAUGGUUUUAGUCAAGUGUUUCAGAAAUGCGCAGUACUACUUUGUAUCUGUCACUCUUUGUCAGGGGAAGGUGACUAAAGCUCCAUAUUGCAAUUUCACUAAGCUAUCCGGAUUUCAUUUAGUGUUUGAAAUUAAUUACUUUCUUGUCCAGUCAUACUAGUACUGAUGAAAUAUCAAGUUGACAUUGUGCUCGGCCAUAGGUCCGCCCUUUGUCUCUCCCUUCGGUUCAAGGAGCAGCAACAGCUGGCCUGCAGUGCCGCCAUCUGAAGACAGGGGAGAUGUCCGUAAUCCCCUUAUGGUAAUUAUGCAGGUGCGGAACCUCCCAAGCGCACGACAGCCUCAUCCGUCCAAGUUGAGCACUGGGCGAUGUCCGAGUUGAGCAAUGUGCCCCGUCCAAGUUCCCAUCCAAUGUUGAACAUUCAAUUUUGUCAUGUUGAAUACUAUACCGCUGAGUGCUAUUGACAGUCAGUUAUUUCUUCCUUCCAUGCUGCACCUGGAGAGCUUAAUCUCCCAUUGGCAAAUUUAAUCUGUACCAGGAAAAAUAUUUGUCAGGUUUUUGGUGGCCAAGUGUUAUUGAUAUGGAGAUGAAUAACUAUGCGGAUGCACUCCUGCUGUUUUUGCAUCUCCUUCGCGACGACCUAUUGCGUGCCCAUGAACAAAAGAGCAAAGCCCGCCUGUAGCCUGAGCUAUUCAUCGCCUCGUCUCAAUGGAUCAGAGUUCAUGGAAAAAAAAUGUUUGGCAUCCUGUAGUAGUUGUAGUCCUUAAGUUACAACAGUUCGAUCAUGAAAAAAACAUCAGUACAAAAAGUAUGGAGCUUCUAACGUUGUAGCGAUUUCGUGUGAACACAAGGAUCCUUCCUGGAAGGUAGUUGGUGGGUUAUGUGCACGCUCUACAUACAUCCAUGCUAGCCUAUCCUGCUGUGUGCGUGUGAUGGAAUAACUCGCAUCAGUUCUGACUUGGAUCCGUUCUUGCCUAUAAUGCAUUGAAAAAUCAUUUGUUUGCCUUCGUUAAGGCUUGAGAAGCAUGUAUCUCAUUUAUAAUACGCUUUGGCAUUUGGUCGAUGAUAUUUAUUGCAUCCUUCAUCACUGAUCUUGAGGAGAAGAUUCAUUUGUGCAUUUCUAUAUUUGUUGUGUAAAUCUGUUAAUAUUUAAUGUUUUAGGGAUUUCAGGAGAGUGGAGGCUUGAGAAGCAUGUAUCUCAUUUAUAAUACGCUUUGGCAUUUGGUCGAUGAUAUUUAUUGCAUCCUUCAUCACUGAUCUUGAGGAGAAGAUUCAUUUGUGC